GCCGACUUGGCACCUUCCUCCACUUCUAACUGCACUGGCCAGGAAUACCGCGAGUUGUGACAAAACAAAAAAACAGCACCCACAACCUCCGAAACAGACAGCCUCACUUGUAUCUCUUGGGUGAGCAGGCGGGAAAAGGCUCCCUACACUUCUACACUGGUGAGUUCCCUCCCUCUUCACCCCUUUUUAUCACGUCCCUAAGUUGCACCUUCUUCCACUUCUAACUGUCCUGGCCAGGAAUACCGCCACGGCAAUGACUUCCUAAUUGCCUCAGCUGGUCGGCAUUGCGCCCCCCACAGACAGCACAGCCUCAAUAGCGGCUUGAAGACCUGUAUUGAAGAUAUUCA